rnacentral:rRNA from 1 species
UACGUAGGUGGCAAGCGUUGUCCGGAUUUAUUGGGCGUAAAGCGAGUGCAGGCGGUUCAAUAAGUCUGAUGUUAAAGCCCGGGGCUCAACUCCGGUUCGGCAUUGGAUACUAUCUAGCUAGAAUGUGGUAGAGGUAAAGGGAAUUCCUGGUGUAGCGGUGAAAUGCGUAGAUAUCAGGAGGAACAUCGGUGGCGAAAGCGCUUUACUGGACCAUUAUUGACGCUGAGGAACGAAAGCCAGGGGAGCAAAUGGG